rnacentral:rRNA from 1 species
GAUGAACGCUGGCGGCGUGCUUAACACAUGCAAGUCGAACGGAAAGGCUCCUGCUUGCAGGGGUACUCGAGUGGCGAACGGGUGAGUAACACGUGGGUGAUCUGCCCUGCACUUCGGGAUAAGCCUGGGAAACUGGGUCUAAUACCGGAUAGGACGAUGGUUUGGAUGCCAUUGUGGAAAGUUUUUCGGUGUGGGAUGAGCUCGCGGCCUAUCAGCUUGUUGGUGGGGUAAUGGCCUACCAAGGCGUCGACGGGUAGCCGGCCUGAGAGGGUGUACGGCCAAAUUGGGCUGAGGAACGGGCCCGAGCCCCCGCGGGGGGGAGGGGGGGGAAAAUUGUAAAAAGGGGGCGAGGCCGUUGGCAGGGACGCCGGGGGGGGGAGGACGGCUUUGGGGUUGGAAACCCCUUUCGCGAGGGACGAGGGGCAAGGGACGGUACUGGGAGAAAAAGCCCCGGUAAACUCCGG